AUGCACAUGAAUGAAGUCCUUCCACAAGGACCUAGGAGUGAAACCAAGGAACAAGAGGGUCCCCAAGGGGGGAUACCCCAUGUGGCCGGCCACACCCCCAUGAGGGGCCCAAAAAAUGGCUCCUAUCCAUCCAUGUCAUCCCCAAGAUCUUUUGGAGCAAAGCCCCAAAAGGUGGCUUUCCAUAAAUGGUACCGCGUUCGGUUUUCUUUCUACAACAGCACAGGCAGCUUCACAGCUCAUAAGGUGAGCACCAUGUGCUUGUUUAACCAGUUUAAGAUCCAUGGUUAUUAUCAGUACGACUGUGAGUGUGAGGCCAAGGAGAUGGAGGGGAAGAAUAGAGUGGCCGCCAUUGCCGCCCUGUGCAUGCUCCUUCUCCUCACGCUGCCAAAGCCAUCCCAUCAGCAGCCCUCCGGAGUCAACUGCAAGUGCUACCGGCGGUGCUACCCUGCGUGCAAGGAAAGGAUCCAGCCGUUGCCCUGCAAGGUCAAGUGUGCUGGUCGCUGCCCCGACGCCAUUGAUCGCCUUGCCUCCUGCUUGAUCGCCUGUGGCAUGGACUCCAUCUGUGACCAGCCAGCGCUGUCAGUCGAUGUUGAGGUUUGCAGGAAUGUCUGCCACGAUAUGUGGGUGGCGAGUGGCGCCAACUAA
rnacentral:rRNA from 1 species